UGGGAGGUGCUGAGUGUGCUAGUG
rnacentral:siRNA from 1 species